rnacentral:rRNA from 1 species
AACGAACGCUGGCGGCAUGCCUAACACAUGCAAGUCGAACGGAACCUUCGGGUCUGGUGGCUCCCGGGUGCGUAACGCGUGGGAACCUGCCCUUAGGUUCGGCCUAUCUCCCCGAAAGGGGUGCUAAUACCGGAUAAUGUCUUCGGACCAAAGAUUUAUCGCCUUUGGAUGGGCCCGCGUUUGAUUAGCUAGUUGGUAGGGUAAAAGCCUACCAAGGCGACGAUCCGUAGCUGGUCUGAGAGGAUGAUCAGCCACACUGGGACUGAGACACGGCCCAGACUCCUACGGGAGGCAGCAGUGGGGAAUAUUGGACAAUGGGCGAAAGCCUGAUCCAGCAAUGCCGCGUGAGUGAUGAAGGCCGUAGGGUUGUAAAGCUCUUUGACCCGGGAUGAUAAUGACAGUACCGGGAGAAUAAGCACCGGCUAACUCCGUG